rnacentral:rRNA from 2 species
UAGGUCUCCUGAAGGAACGUUGAAGACGACGACGUUGAUAGGCCGGGUGUGUAAGCGCAGCGAUGCGUUGAGCUAACCGGUACUAAUGAACCGUGAGGCUUAACCUUACAACGCCGAAG